GACGAACGCUGGCGGCGUGCUUAACACAUGCAAGUCGUACGACAGCAUUUCCUUUUAGGUUGUGUUUGGAGUGGCGAACGGGUGAGUAACACGUGGGUGACCUGCCCUUCACUUUGGGAUAACGUGCGGAAACGUGCGCUAAUACCAAAUAUUCGCAUUUCUGCUGCAUGGUGGGGUGUGGAAAGGGGCCUUCGGGUUCGUGGUGGGGGAGUGGGCGUCGCGGCCUAUCAGCNGUGUUGGUGGGGU
rnacentral:rRNA from 1 species